UCUCGAUAUCGUAAAUGUUAACUCAAAUUUGUAUGGAGUUGGAACGUUUGCCUAUGUUUGUUGCCAGGGGCGUCGUUCCAACUGCACCCAAAUUUGAGUUAACUUUUACGUUAUCGA
rnacentral:pre_miRNA from 9 species